GCGUCCUCUGCGGCACAAAAGCAGAGAGGGGCGCGGGUCAGUCUCACCGCCCCGGGCCGCGGCGGGAAGUGCACGGCGGGGGCGGGGCUUCCGCGUCCCCGACCGCGCCGCCCCCUGCCUCGGCCUGGAGCCCGGGCCCCUCUCCCCGCACACCUGCGCGCGCCCGCCGCAGGGUCCCCGGUCGGCUCCCGCACCCGAGGUCCCGCCGCGCUCAAAUCCUGGCGGCCUCGCCGGACCAGACGCCCCGAAUCCCGGUAAAUCCCCAAUGCAGAGAAGCCUCGCAAAGGAGGCUUAAGACAGUCACCUCCACUUCUAUAAAACGCCUCCCAAUUUAAUCUGCCUUUGAACUCUGCAUUUAUAUAGAAUGCCAAAAGCCAACUUCCCAGGUUUCUUUGAAAUUUGAAACCACGAGGCAAAAUUAGGAACACUCUGCCCUCUUAGGGUGCUUUCUUUCAUUUCAGAACCUUGAAGCCAUACAGCAACACCCUGCUUGACAGACCGGGAGCUAAUGGCCCAAUUUUACAAACGGGUGAACUCAGAGGGCGAGCGGAAGGAAGCCACCAGCCGGCAAGGGCGGGCCGGUCUCUCCCCAGCCCAGGCUCGGCUUCCACCGACCCACGCGACACAAUGAACGCGGCCCGCAAGAGCACCGCCUUACACCAAGCUUCACCCCUACUCAGACACACCUUAAAACAUCCCUUUCCGGGGUUCGAAGCGCACCCGACAGACGGCUGCCCACGUCCCCAGCCUCGCAGCCCCAGAGGCUCGCAGCCCUACCCGGGUUUCUGGGUCCCCACCGCUUACGUGAAGGGGAGCGCCGGGCCACCAGGCUCUUCUGGAGGGCGGCCCCCCACCUUCCGCUCGGAGGCACUGCGGAGACACUGCGAGGGACUGCUGCGAACCGAGGGGAAGGGUGGCGGGCUCCCCGCCGCCACGAGAAGCCACGCCCUGCUCGGAGCGGGCGGCCGGGCAGCCAGAGUCAGAAUGACAAAGCAGAAAUCCACUCCGGUGCAGCCCUGGCGACUACGCCAACGGGCUUAGCGAAGCGAGACCUCCUAAUUGGGUGACACCACAUCCUCUUCCUGCUCAGAGCGCCCCCAACCCAAGGAAAGAGCAAAAACAACGUAAGAAUGUUUGGAACCAGAACGCAGAGACAAAUGUGUUUUAAUUAAGCAAAACUGGACCGUGCCCUAAGGCAGUGACUCGGGAACUUUGCUGCCCAUUGUGAUCACGAGAGGAUCUUGAAGAACACCGACGCCUCACUCCCACCCCCAGACAUUCUGGGUGAAUGGGUAUUAGGUGUGACCCGGGCGGGCAUCCGAGGGGUUUUUGUUUUUGUUUUUAACUCCCUGGGUGAUUCUAGUGAACUGCAAAGUUUGGGACCCUUUGCCCUAGCGUAAUGGACUUGUCAGUCUGGCAGUUCUCCAAAGGAAAUUACCAGGCUUUUAAAAGAAACAUCUAGUCCAUUCUGACUAAUCCUGAAAAGUGACAAAUUCUCACCAACACAUAACUUCCCCUUACGCCCUUCCUCCUUAACCCACUCAGGUUUUGGGCUGUCACGUUUGUUUUAGGGAAAACAGCAUAUUUAACUCCAGUCAUGCCAAGCCACCUGCAGCUGCCCAAGUGAGCCAUGCUCUCUCAUACUUCCUGCUCUUACUCCUAUUCUUACUCAGCACCUUGGAUCAGUAGGGAAGUAGGAAUAUUUGCUGAAUAAAUAAAUGAAUGAAUGAA